UUGUUAUAUCUGAAAGACUUC
rnacentral:piRNA from 1 species